AUGUGGCGUUUAUUCCUAACCAUUGCUUCCAUGCUGGUGCUGGUGGCAGGUCAUGGGCGAGUGAUUCAGCCAACGUCCAGGGCCUCCGCCUGGCGAGCAGGGUUCCCCACCAAGCCAGACUACGAUGACGAUGGCGUCAAUUGCGGAGGCAUGUGGCACCAAUGGAGUUACAAUAAGGGCAAAUGCGGCAUUUGUGGCGACAGGUACGAUGCCAAGCCUCCGCGCGCCCACGAACUCGGCGGCACCUACGGAGAAGGCAUCAUAGUCGCGCAUUACCUUCCUUCAUCCGUCUUUACCGUCACAGUCCACCUCACCACCUCCCACAAAGGAUUCUGGGAGUUCAAACUGUGCCCCGAUCCCCACAGGAACGAUCAAGAGUGCUUUGACGAAUACCCCCUAGAAUUAGAAGAAGGGGCACGAAAUACUAUCCUACACGGGGCAGUGUGAAAUACGACGUCAACUAUCGGUUACCAUCAGGUCUGGUGUGCGACCACUGUGUUCUGCAGUGGAGGUAUACAGCCGGGAAUAAUUGGGGUAUCUGUCCCAAUGGUACUGGGGGGUUGGGGUGCGGGAAUCAGGAGCAGUUCGGGGCCUGCUCUGACGUAUCCAUAGGGGCUGGUAAGAGUGGACUUAAGUACAAGCCUGAGGGAUACGACGAUAUGCCCUCGGUUUUACUUCACUAUUUGUCAAAGGGAUACUAUGAUUUACAAGACCCAUCUUUGAAAGAAGUGGUCCCUGCAUCGAGUCAUAGCAAGAACAAGUCACCGAAUAUAAAGAAUAAAUUAAAGAGGAAGAAACAGCGAAAGAAUAAGAAGAGGAUGAAAUUCUACAAACAGAAGAAAACGCAGUUUUGGAGGUGAUCCGAGCGGACUGAAUCAAAUUCUCGGAAUUAAUAAAGUUUUACAUAUUUGUAAAGUAAUAAAUAAGAUAUUGGUUAUUGUAAAAUUUAAUUGUGACGCAAUGUACAUCAUAAUGUUGUAAUAUCUAUGAGUAAAGACAAUAAAAUGUACUAUAGUUUA